UGGGGAAUAUUGCACAAUGGGCGCAAGCCUGAUGCAGCAACGCCGCGUGCGGGAAGAAGGCCCUAGGGUUGUAAACCGCUUUCAGCAGGGAAGAAAUGACGGUACCUGCAGAAGAAGGUGCGGCCAACUACGUGCCAGCAGCCGCGGUGACACGUAGGCACCAAGCGUUGUCCGGAUUUAUUGGGCGUAAAGAGCUCGUAGGCGGUUCAGUAAGUCGGGUGUGAAACUCUGGGCUCAACCCAGAGAGGCCACUCGAUACUGCUGUGACUAGAGUGCGGUAGGGGAGCGGGGGAAUUCCUGGUGUAGCGGUGAAAUGCGCAGAUAUCAGGAGGAACACCAGUGGCGAAGGCGCCGCUCUGGGCCGUAACUGACGCUGAGGAGCGAAAGCAUGGGUAGCAAACAGGAUUAGAUACCCUGGUAGUCCAUGCCGUAAACGUUGGGCACUAGGUGUGGGUC
rnacentral:rRNA from 1 species